CCUACGGGUGGCUGCAGUGGGGAAUAUUGCACAAUGGGCGCAAGCCUGAUGCAGCCAUGCCGCGUGUGUGAAGAAGGCCUUCGGGUUGUAAAGCACUUUCAGCGGGGAGGAAGGCGUUAAGGUUAAUAACCUUGGCGCUCGACGUUACCCGCAGAAGAAGCACCGGCUAACUCCGUGCCAGCAGCCGCGGUAAUACGGAGGGUGCAAGCGUUAAUCGGAAUUACUGGGCGUAAAGCGCACGCAGGCGGUCUGUCAAGUCGGAUGCGAAAUCCCCGGGCUCAACCUGGGAACUGUAUUCGAAACUGGCAGGCUAGAGUCUUGUAGAGGGGGGUAGAAUUCCAGGUGUAGCGGUGAAAUGCGUAGAGAUCUGGAGGAAUACCGGUGGCGAAGGUGGCCCCCUGGACAAAGACUGACGCUCAGGUGCGAAAGCGUGGGGAGCAAACAGGAUUAGAUACCCCUGUAGUC
rnacentral:rRNA from 1 species